AUGACAUGAGAUUUGAUUUAUUAUAUAUACAUAUGGUCAAUCAUAUAUCAGGAUAAUAUGGUUCAAAGUUAAAAGGAGCUCAAGUAAAAUAUGGAGCAUCAGUGAAGUCACUAGAGACACUGUUUACAUGAUAUGUGAACACCAAGAACACCUCUCCUCUCUCUGGAUCAUUCAGGGAACAGGAAGUUAUAAAGGAAACAGGAAGUUCAGGGUUCUUUCUCUAAUCUGCACACAGCAAGCAGCAACAGAAAUAGCACUUCCUGUUGAUAAAUCCAGAGCACUUCCUGUUGAUAAAUCCAGAGCUACAGAUUCACAGAUAUAAGAAGACCGAGGAGUUCAGAUGAAAAGAAACAAAGCUACAUGGACAGACAGGUGAUCAUUCAAAUGAUUUCGUCUGCUUGCGUUGGAUGGAUGUUUCUCGAUCUUCUCCUGAGUCCGUUUGAACUUUUGUGAUCUGUUGCUUUGGUAACCUCAGCAUCGUUAACAAAAACAGGCCAAUCAGAGUCCACAUUUUGAAGGUCUCGGUCUGGGACUAGAAGGAAAAAACAUCAAAUAACUUCAGUCCCCGGUUACGACCACAACCUUCCUGGUGUUACGGUCCAACUGUUUGUACAGGUUGCUCCUCCUCGUAUUUGCUCCGCUCGUGGCAACAAUAUUAUUUGACUUUUCUUUCACAAAGCUGAACUGUACCUGUAGGUCUGUCUUGAUGAGCGAGGCUCCUGCUUGGACCAGAUAAUGACAGAUAGUUCUUUGAGACAGGGACGCAGCUCGGUGAAGGACCGUCUCCCCCCUGGUCAACAGAAGAGAGAGAGAGAGAGAGAGAGAGAGAGAGAGAGAGAGAGAGAGA